rnacentral:rRNA from 1 species
UACAGAGGUGGCAAGCGUUGUUCGGAUUUAUUGGGCGUAAAGGGUUCGUAGGCGGCCAGAUUAGUCGGAUGUGAAAUCCCACAUGUCAACUGUGGAACUGCAUUCGAAACUGUCUGGCUCGAGUAUGUGAGGGGUAAAGGGAAUUCCGGGUGUAAGGGUGAAAUCUGCAGAGAUCCGGAGGAACACCAGUCGCGAAGGCGCUUUACUGGCACAUCACUGACGCUGAGGGACGAAAGCUAGGGUAGCGAACGGG